rnacentral:rRNA from 1 species
AAUGAACGCUGGCGGCAGGCCUAACACAUGCAAGUCGAACGGAUCCUUCGGGAUUAGUGGCGGACGGGUGAGUAACGCGUGGGAACCUACCCAAAGGUACGGAAUAGCCUCGGGAAACUGGGAGUAAUACCGUAUGUGCUCGAAAGAGGAAAGAUUUACCGCCUUCGGAUUGGCCCGGGUUGGAUUAGGUAGUUGGUGAGGUAAUGGCCUACCAAGCCGACGAUCCAUAGCUGGUUUGAGAGGAUGAUCAGCCACACUGGGACUGAGACACGGCCCAGACUCCUACGGGAAGCAGCAGUGGGGAAUCUUAGACAAUGGGGGAAACCCUGAUCUAGCCAUGCCGCGUGAUCGAUGAAGGCCUUAGGGUUGUAAAGAUCUUUCAGGUGGGAAGAUAAUGACUGUACCACCAGAAGAAGCCCCGGCUAACUCCGUGCCAGCCGCCGCGGUAA